GGCCCAGAUCGUUUACCGUGAAAAAAUUAGAGUGUUCAAAGCAGGCAGAUCCAAUUUUCUGCCACCGAAUACAUUAGCAUGGGAUAAUGGAAUAGGACCCUGUCCUCCUAUUUUCAGUUGGUUUUGGCAGCGCGAGGACUAGGGUAAUGAUUAAUAGGGAUAGUUGGGGGCAUUAAUAUUUAAUUGUCAGAAGUGAAAUUCUUGGAUUUAUGAAAGAUUAACUUCUGCGAAAGCAUCUGCCAAGGAUGUUUUCAUUAAUCAAGAACGAAAGUUAGGGGAUCGAAGACGAUCAGAUACCGUCGUAGUCUUAACCAUAAACGAUGCCGACCAGCGAUUAGGAGACGUUGAUUACAAAACACCACCAUCGGUGCGGUCGUCCUUGGCGUCGGUCUUUCGGGGCCGGCGCGGGGACGGCUUAGCCCGGUGGCACCGGUGAAUGACUCCCCUAGCAGCUUGUGAGA
rnacentral:rRNA from 1 species